CCGAUGAUACUUGGGGUAAUUUUUUGACAUUCCUUCUUCUCUUUUUUUUUUGAUCUGGCUUGUUUUUCUUUUUCAGUGGGCACACGGUACGCAUGCUUUAGAGAGCGGAUAUCAAAAAAUUAUUGAUUUUCAUCGAUCGUGAAUGGAUAAGGUGACGGCCGCCAACACCGAAAAGACUACUGCGAUCGAACAACUGCAGGCGACA
rnacentral:lncRNA from 1 species